rnacentral:lncRNA from 10 species
AAAUGAGAACUCCCAACUCUGAGUUACCCGUCCAUUACUCAGCCUGCUAGGCCACGCUGCCUCUCCCCAGCAACUCUCCCUAUCUAUUAUAUACAUAUAUACAAUUUAGACUGAGCAUGCUGGGUGGCUUAACUAAUGAUUGCAGACCACUUUGGAAAUAGAAAAUACCCUGUGUGCACAGAACUAGUAAUGAUUAGAUAACAGACUGUCCUAAAUUUUACAUUUAAUUCAAACAAACCUUUUCUUGAUGAAAGUUUUGCUAUUAAACAAAAGACUUUUUUUAUACUAGAGGUUUUCACGGUAUUUUCAUUUGAGUUGAAUUUCUGUUCUUCAGACCCAUAUUUCUGCCAAUUUCUAUCUCUUGUGCUUUCUCUGGCACAACUGAAAGAACAAAGUUAAUAACAGAGAAAGGACAAGCUUUAAAAAGUGCUGCAUUUAUCGUCGGUUGUAAUUCUGCUAUUAAAUGGUCUUGGCAUUUGGGAAAUUCUUCUCAAUCUUGCUUUUUUUCUUAGAGGUAAAAAAUGGAAAACAUGGAAUUUAUACUAAAAAUAAUCCUCUAUCUUCUGCGUUCUCAGUCUUUACCUCUUUGCAUUCAGUGUGUGACCUCCUACCUCUAUAAGAUAGUGUGCAAGAUGAGUACCAAGCCUUUGCUUCCCCUUAACUUUUCUAGAAGUAACACACAUGCACGUCCUCACACACACACACAUACACUCACAAUUUGUGUAGAAUUAUUUUUCACUCUGAUUUCUGCCUGUGGAACAGAUUGAAGAUUUUACCAUCCAAAACCCACAAAGAGAAAACUCCUACUGUGGUCUUCAGAAUUUCCAUUCAGCUGAUUUGCCUGCCAAGUCCAGUGACCAGUACCGCCGCUCCUGAUGGUGGGGAGCAUAUGGUACUGCUGUGAAUAGUUUUGCUCUCACUGCUGUGAAAUCCCACGCCUUCCUACAGAAUGUGUUUGGAGGAGCAAAUGGUUUCAACACACAUGGGAACAAGAUAUAUUCAUGGAAUGUGCCUUUGAACCUGCAUUCAAAAGAACUCAGACAGAGUUCCAACCAAAGAGAGCAGUUUCAAACAGCCUGUGAAAUCCAAGUAGAUUUCUACCAUACAGAAGUCUAUUUCCUGAUGGAUUCUCUACCCUUUUUCCUGAAUGAUGGACAAAGAGUGAUACGUGUUAUGGAUGGAAGAUAGUGGCCAGCUCAGGAUUGAGUGUCUUCAGAAAUUAUGUCCAAAUGAAUCAUGGACUGAACCCAUUUUGUUAUACUAAAAUUUCCUUUGUGCACUAGAGGUCAUAAAAAUGUUUCACUGCCAAAUCUAGACCACUUUAUCCUCCAAUGAAAUUAUGAUUUCUAAAGCACAAAAUCUAAGAAAAACUCACAUUGGGUAGCAAGCAAGGCCAGCCAGUUCAUCAAUAGCCAGGCAUAAAAGUCUACAUGUUUCAUUUUGCCAAUAAGCUUGUCUGCUUCAUCUGGUGCCAACAACUCAAUCCUCUGAACAUCACAUAUUGAAUAAAGGAACCUUUUCAAAUCUACGGAAUACUUCAGUUCUCAUCUUUCUAAUGUAUCAUCUGAUACAAGGGUUCAUUCUAUCCUUCUAGAGUUAAUAAAUGAUUACUGUACCAAGUCUGAUAUUCUGGAGGUGCUGAAGUAAAAACUGCCCCAAACGUCCCCUCAGGACAGUGGUUAUUUUUUAAAACAAAUUUACUGUGUAUCCUGGAGUUUCUAGAAGUUCACUUAUGCAGAAAACUGAAUACAACAUUCACCACUGAGGUUUUAACUUUCCAUUCUUUG